rnacentral:rRNA from 1 species
GAAUAUUGGCCAAUGGGGGGAACCCUGAUCCAGCCAUGCCGCGUGUGUGAAGAAGGCCUUUUGGUUGUAAAGCACUUUAAGCGAGGAGGAGGCUCCUCUAGUUCAUACCUAGAGAUAGUGGACGUUACUCGCAGAAUACGCAACGGCUAACUCCGUGCCAGCAGCCGCGGUAAUACAGCGUGUGCAAGCGUUAAUCGGAUCUACUGGGCGUAAAGCGCGCGUAGGUGGCCAAUUAAGUCAAAUGUGAAAUCCCCGAGCUUAACUUGGGAAUUGCAUUCGAUACUGGUUGGCUAGAGUACGGGAGAGGAUGGUAGAAUUCCAGGUGUAGCGGUGAAAUGCGUAGAGAUCUGGAGGAAUACCGAUGGCGAAGGCAGCCAUCUGGCCUAAUACUGACACUGAGGUGCGAAAGCAUGGGGAGCAAAC